rnacentral:rRNA from 1 species
UACGAAGGGUGCAAGCGUUACUCGGAAUUACUGGGCGUAAAGCGUGCGUAGGUGGUUUGUUAAGUCUGAUGUGAAAGCCCUGGGCUCAACCUGGGAAUUGCAUUGGAUACUGGCAGGCUAGAGUGCGGUAGAGGGUAGUGGAAUUCCCGGUGUAGCAGUGAAAUGCGUAGAGAUCAGGAAGAACACCCGUGGCGAAGGCGGCCCACUGGACCGGUACUGACGCUGAGGCACGAAAGCGUGGGGAGCAAACAGG